rnacentral:rRNA from 1 species
UACGAAGGGGGCUAGCGUUGCUCGGAAUCACUGGGCGUAAAGCGCACGUAGGCGGCUUCUUAAGUCAGGGGUGAAAUCCUGGAGCUCAACUCCAGAACUGCCUUUGAUACUGAGAGGCUUGAGUCCGGGAGAGGUGAGUGGAACUGCGAGUGUAGAGGUGAAAUUCGUAGAUAUUCGCAAGAACACCAGUGGCGAAGGCGGCUCACUGGCCCGGUACUGACGCUGAGACGCGAAAGCGUGGGGAGCGAACAGG